rnacentral:antisense_RNA from 1 species
CUUUUUCUAGGGUUCUGUUUGAUUCAACCUUAUGCUUUAUUUUUUCUUCAAAUUCAUUAAUAAAAUCAUCAUUCUCUGUGGCAAUUUCUCUAGAAGAUUUCUUCAGCGCAUUAAUAUCAUCUAAAUCUUCUACUGCAGCUAAAACAUCUUCAAAUUCUUUCUUUUGGUUGUCAUUAAAAUUUGCUGAAGCAUUCGAAUCGGCAGUUGAGCUUUCAUGGAGUACCCUUGUGACAUAAAUACUGUUAUUAUCAGAAUUAAGCAUAUUCUGAUUUCUUGACCCAAUCAUUUUUUGAAUAUCGUUUUUUGAAAAAAACUCUGAAGUGAAGCGGCCCUGAUCAACAACAACAUCAUCUAAUAAUCUCUUUUGGAGCUGCUUUUUAAAAAUGCUUUCCUCAAUUGUCCAUUCAGAAACUAGCCUAUAUAUGUUUACAUCUCUUGUUUGGCCAAUUCUAUGGCAGCGAUCCAUUGCUUGUCUAUCCAUUGCUGGGUUCCAGUCAGAAUCAUAAAAAAUAACAGUAUCUGCGCCAGUUAAAUUCAAUCCAACCCCACCAGACCUAGUUGAUGAAAUAAAUAGAUAAAUUCGUUGAUCUCUGUUAAAUCUAUUCACAAGUUUUUGUCUGUCAUCAACUUUAGUGCUUCCAUCUAAUCGAAGAUAGUUGUAUCCUCGGUAGUUUAUGAAGGAUUCUAAAACAUCCAGCAUUUUGCUCAUCUGCGUGAAAAUGAUACAUCUAUGCCCUUCAUUAAAGAGUUUAUGUAAUAAUCGAGAAAGUAUUUGGAAUUUUCCGCAAUCAUCCUCAAUUAUUCUUCUAGGAGGAACAAUACACUUUUUAAAGAAGGAAAUAUUAUGUAAAUAUGCAUUUGAAGAAUUGAUUAAAUUAUCAACUUGUAAAGAAAUAUAUGAGUUGCAAAAAAGCUCAUUUUUAACGAAUGAAUAUUUACCCUCUAUAGGAAUGGAAAAAUUUGUUGAAAUAACUUUUCUCUCAAGAAUCAUGUUGAAUUGUGAUAACAUUGGGAGCUGCUUGCGAAAAUUAGGUUUCACAAAUAAUAAUUUGCUUGGAAACAUUUCUAAAUUAAUUAAUUUAGCAUUCA